CCCACUUAUUUCCAUCACCCACGUUCACAAUUCAUUUACCAAACUUCUGCAAUAAUUAACUGAAUUCCUGUAUUCUCCAUUCAUAAUUCCCACAGCUCAUUCUGCCGAGGAGGAGCUCAUGUUUUUAAAAACAGUCGAGCAGUUUCAUAGCUUCAACAUCAAAGCAAUUUCAUAUCUUUGAACAGAACAUCCCCAAGGCUUUGAGCAUCAAGAGGAUUAGCACUGCUAUUCCGAUUCAGAGAUAAGGUUAAACGACAGGCUUUGCCUAGACAGGUUGGCUGGACGGUGCUGACGGGACGGAGCUGAGGCUAAAGAUAAAUUCCUAUGUUAGACUUCCGCUGUAGCAAUUACUCAUAUCCAUCUUUUGUUUUCCCAACUUAAGAUCUUCAUGUUAAAUUUCAAAUGAUAUAUUUGACCGAGCUUAGACUCUUCACUACUAAAUUUAUGCUAAUGAAUGUUGGUUGUCAGAAGCAUGAAACAAAA